GUCCCAUCUGUAACAACCGAAAAUGAAAUGUUGUAGUGAUGAUGAUGAUGGCCAAUCAAAUGGACUAAUAAGGCCAUGAUGAUCCAGUUGGUGAAGUAAAUCCACCAGGAUCUUUUUUGGCCUUCUGAUGGCUAAAGAUCCAAAUGGGACAGGCAAAAAAAGCCCUGUCAUCCUCAGAGCAGAGACUGGUAUUGCUGUCUUCUGAGUUCUUCAGUUUCCCAACUGAGACAUUCAAACCUCAUCACAGAGCUCAUGUCCAUCCACACCAUCAUGUGGGUGAGAGAUUGUUAUGUGGCCUGCAGCACCUAUGAGAACACAUUCGUGCCUGUAUUUCAGCUUCUUAUGAUCUACACAAGUGGCCAGAGUGUCAGUGUUUGAUCGCUCUCACAGAACCUGACUUCAGUCACCUCACUCCAGGAAGACAGAGGGCUGCAAGGUGUGUGUGUGUGUGUGUGUGUGUGUGGUCUAGAACUAUAGCAAGCUAUAGUUAUACAGUUCAUACAAACACACAGCUCUAAAUCUUGAUCAUGUGAUUAUUAAAUAUCUAUUGAACCAUUUCAUGUAUUUUUAUAGAAGGUACACAACCUCAAAAUGUGAAAGUGUUUAAGAGGAGAAAUAAUGAAA